rnacentral:tRNA from 1 species
GGAAGGUUGGCUGAGCGGUCAAAAGCAUCGGUCUUGAAAACCGGCGAGUGUAAAAAGCUCCAAGGGUUCGAAUCCCUUACCUUCCU